rnacentral:rRNA from 1 species
UACGUAGGGUGCAAGCGUUAAUCGGAAUUACUGGGCGUAAAGCGUGCGCAGGCGGUUCGGAAAGAAAGGUGUGAAAUCCCAGGGCUUAACCUUGGAACUGCACUUUUAACUACCGGGCUAGAGUACGUCAGAGGGGGGUAGAAUUCCACGUGUAGCAGUGAAAUGCGUAGAGAUGUGGAGGAAUACCGAUGGCGAAGGCUGCCCCCUGGGAUGAUACUGACGCUCAUGCACGAAAGCGUGGGGAGCAUACAGG